CCCUAUGGGGUGCAGCAGGCUCUCGUUCAUGGGUCUGCCGACACCAAACAUCUUCACCGGCGGUCAUAACGGGCAUGGAAGGUUUGAGUAUCUUUCGGUGGAAGGUCUUGAAAAAGCCACAGAAGUAGCAAUAAACAUCAGCAAGCUGGUGGGUGAGCUGAAAUAAAGCAAAAACAUAACGAUCAGCAGGUGUUUGAACGCUCAAACACCUGCUUCUUAUUUAAACAACUGGUUGGCUCGGCGGCAUUUGUUAACGUUUUACGAAAAAGAACAAAAUCUCUAAAAGUACUUGACGUGACGUACUACGUCUGAUAUAGUAAUUACAACGACAGACGUAUUACUGUUGGAAAGGAAAAGCGAUGAUCAGCAGCGAUGUCAUUCGAGGUUACACUGACACAAUCAUCUUGUCACUGUUGCGCAAUGAGC
rnacentral:rRNA from 1 species